CAAGAAUUACUGCUCACACUGCAACACUCAUUGACAAUAUUUAUACAAAUGACACUGAGAAAAUUAAUAAUAGUAUUAAUGGGAUUAUUUUAACUGAUAUAUCAGACCAUUUACCAAUAAUUCAUAUGUGCAAUAUGGACAAUUAUAAACAAAUUAAGUCAACAGACAAAACUAGAUAUACGAGGACAAUUAAUGAAGAAAGUAUCAGAAAUUUUACUGAUGAAAUCAGAUGUCUAUCAUGGGAAGAAAUACUUAAUGAAAAUACAAAUCCUGAUGAUGCUUACAACAAUUUUCUUGAAAUUUAUUUAACUGCUUAUGAAAAACAUUUUCCUCAAAAACUAAUCAAAAAUCGUAUUGAUAAAAACAGAAGCCCAUGGAUGACAAAUGGCCUAUUAAAAUCAGUAAAAAGAAAAAAUAAAUUCUAUAAAACAUUCUUGAAAAAUCCUAGUGGUAAAAACGAAACAAAGUACAAAAAAUAUAAAAACAAAUUGAACCAUAUAAUAAAAAUAUCAAAGAAAAUAUACUACGAAGAAAAAUUUAUUAAAUACAAAAGCAAUGCCAAAAUGGUUUGGAAAACUUUAAAUGAACUUCUCAAUAAGAAAAGAAAAAAUAGAGAGUUACCAAGGGAAUUUUUCGAAAGCAACUCAUCAAAUACUAUACAUGAUCCACUAGAAAUUGCAAACAAAUUUAAUGAGUACUUUGUCAAUGUUGGGCCAAAACUAGCGGAAAAGAUUAGAACUGAUUCUGAUGCAUCUUAUCAUAAUUACUUAUCUAAUAAAAAUCAAAAUAGUAUGUUUCUUGAACCCACUACAGAAGUGGAAAUAGAAGAAGAGCUUAAAAUUAUGAAUAUAAAUAAAAGUCCUGGAUAUGAUGACAUAAAUAUUAAAACAAUAGUAUCAUGUGCGAAACAAAUUUCCAAACCUCUAACACAUAUAUGCAACUUAUCAUUUCUUAGCGGAAUCAUCCCUGACAAAUUGAAAAUUGCUGUAGUUACACCAGUUUUCAAGGCAAACGAAGCUAAUAAAUUUGAAAAUUACCGACCAAUAUCCGUG